AGGACGAACGCUGGCGGCGUGCUUAACACAUGCAAGUCGAGCGGAAAGGCCCUUCGGGGUACUCGAGCGGCGAACGGGUGAGUAACACGUGAGUAACCUGCCCCUAGUUCUGGGAUAGCUCCGGGAAACCGGAAUUAAUAACCGGAUACAACCACGGACGACAUCGGCCGUGGUGGAAAAGAUUUAUCGACUAGGGAUGGGCUCGCGGCCUAUCAGCUUGUUGGUGGGGUAACGGCCUACCAAGGCGACGACGGGUAGCC
rnacentral:rRNA from 1 species